AACAACUUUGCUUCUCUGAUGUAUUACAAAUUCUCAAUACUUUUUGAGAUAUUAGGAAAAAAUUUUCGGCCCCUCUAGAUCCCUUAUUUUAGGGGCCAGCCCCUUUUCCAAGAUAACAUUUGAAAGAUCUUUUAAUUCUGCACUACUUUUGUUCUAUAUAAUAUAACAAAAUAUUUCCAAUUUUAAAGAUAAAAAGGAAAAUAUGUCUAAAUUUUCGCUCUUUUAGGCGUUCUAAUUUUUGACCCCUAUAUAGCGCCAUUUUGAAUACAGAAAUCGAAAAACAAAAAGCGAUGUGCACAACUUCAAUUCUUCUAUUAUUUAAAUUCGGUAGAAUUUCUGCUCCAGCUUUUGUAGUCUCUGAGCCUUUGUCUGGAAAUGAAGCCUCCUAAAUUUUCAUUUAAAGGGAAAUAACUCAAAAGCGGAAGUGACUUUUUGAAAUGU